rnacentral:rRNA from 1 species
UGGGGAAUAUUGGACAAUGGGCGAAAGCCUGAUCCAGCAAUGCCGCGUGAGUGAAGAAGGCCUUCGGGUUGUAAACUGCUUUUGUACGGAACGAAAAGACUCCUUCUAAUAAAGGGGGUCCAUGACGGUACCGUAAGAAUAAGCACCGGCUAACUACGUGCCAGCAGCCGCGGUAAUACGUAGGGUGCGAGCGUUAAUCGGAAUUACUGGGCGUAAAGCGUGCGCAGGCGGUUAUGUAAGACAGAUGUGAAAUCCCCGGGCUCAACCUGGGAACUGCGUUUGUGACUGCAUAACUAGAGUACGGCAGAGGGAGGUGGAAUUCCGCGUGUAGCAGUGAAAUGCGUAGAUAUGCGGAGGAACACCGAUGGCGAAGGCAAUCCCCUGGACCUGUACUGACGCUCAUGCACGAAAGCGUGGGGAGCAAACA